ensembl:lncRNA novel transcript
UUUGGAAAGAAAAACAAAAGUACUAAUAAUCAAACUCAAGGUUGGAUAGCUUUAAGAGUAAGGAAAAAAAGAAAUUACUCAUGAAGUUAGAACACUGAAGAAAUAGAAGUGAGAUGGAUCACCACAGGAAAAUCCUGAAUGAAGCAAAUGUUUUCUUGAGUACAAGGAUGUAUAAUUUUAGGAAAGAUUGAGCUAUUUGCCAUCUUGCUUAUGUAUAUGUUGUUGGAUUUACUUAUUAUGGAUUUUACCACUUUAGUGUCAUGGUUAGUGUUAAAGUACGUGGGGUGUGUGUCUAAUUGAUGUCAUGCCUAUCCCAGGAAGUCACUAAGGAGCAGCCCUGUCACAACAGCCUCCAAAGGACAGAGAGUGAACCACAGAGGAAAUUCGAAUGCAUGUACAGUGGGUUCCAUUACCAGGGAGCCUGAGCUUGGGACAAGAGGAGCUCAUCACCACCAGAAAAUACUACCAACAUGCCCAAGAGUUUGUUUCCCAUACUUUUAAAGAAAAAGAAAAAUGGAUGGUUCUGAAAUCACCUGGGUUUGUUUUAUUACAUUAUAUCUUCUGGCAAGAUCAGUGAUGGCAGAUGUGAUUCAGCAAUAGAAGCAUGGCUGUACUGGAGGGGACUGACAAGAACGUUUGCAGUCGGUAGUGUUCCUCAGUACUCAUCAAUUUGUGAGCCACAAGAAAUUCUAGCUCUGGAGGCGGAUGGUGGGAGUGAAGCGGACCAGCCGGCCAUUCCCUGUUGCCUACCUGUGGUGGCUCUGCCCAGUCAUCGGUGUCCACUGUUCAGCAUGCAUUCUUUAUGGACAAUCUUAUUCAAGAAAAUAGUUGCAAAAGAGCAAGACAAAAUUCAAAUGAUGUACACUUGAACACUUGCCUACAGAGGUGACAGUUGCCCCAAAAAGUUUGCUGUAAAGUUUGGAGGAGGAAGACACUUCCUGUCUUGAAAUAUAAAUAUGAGUAUCAAAAA